rnacentral:tRNA from 1 species
UAGUUAUUAGUAUAUUUAGUAUAUUAAAUUUCCAAUUUAAAGGUUCUUUAGAAUAAUUUC